rfam:Capsicum annuum cultivar Zunla-1 chromosome 8, whole genome shotgun sequence
AUCAAGGCUUCUCUUGAAGCCAUUAAUCAAACUCUUUCAAGAUUGG